UGAGGAAUAUUGGUCAAUGGGCGGGAGCCUGAACCAGCCAAGUCGCGUGAAGGAUGACUGUCUUAUGGAUUGUAAACUUCUUUUAUACGGGAAUAACAAGAGUCACGUGUGACUCCCUGCAUGUACCGUAUGAAUAAGCAUCGGCUAACUCCGUGCCAGCAGCCGCGGUAAUACGGAGGAUGCGAGCGUUAUCCGGAUUUAUUGGGUUUAAAGGGUGCGUAGGCGGUUUGUUAAGUCAGCGGUGAAAUCUAGAGGCUCAACCUCGAAACUGCCGUUGAAACUGGCGAACUUGAGUGUAGAUGAGGUAGGCGGAAUUCGUGGUGUAGCGGUGAAAUGCAUAGAUAUCACGAGGAACUCCGAUUGCGAAGGCAGCUUACUAAGGUACAACUGACGCUGAAGCACGAAAGCGUGGGUAUCAAACAGGAUUAGAUACCCUGGUAGUCCACGCAGUAAACGAUGAUAACUGGGCGUAUGCGAUAUACAGUAUGCUCCUAAGCGAAAGCGUUAAGUUAUCCACCUGGGGAGUACGCCGGCAACGGUG
rnacentral:rRNA from 1 species